GCUAUCGUUGUGUGGGUGGGUGGUGGCACGCAAGCCAGGUUGUAUGGUCUUUACAGUUAACUUAGUUGGAUAGGAAUAUACCACAAUGUUUUCCUGAACUGCUAAUGUCUUUUCACUGUCUCUAUGUAACAGUCCAUGGGUCUCAUGUAUUAUGAAUGGAGGUAUCUCUAGCUCUGUGUGUGUGUAGCCCCAGGAGCCCUAUGUGUUUGGGCAGGAGGCCCAGGCGGCUAUGCGUAGCGCGGUGACGUUGCGUUAAUCUCUCCUGCCGUUCCUCUACACACUCUUCUACCACGCACACACCUCCGCAGACACUGUGGCCACGCCUCUCUUCCUCCAGUUCCCCUCGGACCCUAACUGCCACACCAUUGACAGACAGUUCCUGUGGGGCCAGCCGUUCUACAGUAAGGGUCAGUACCUGCUCCUCCCAG